rnacentral:rRNA from 1 species
AGAGAUGUGGAGGAACACCGAUGGCGAAGGCAGCCCCCUGGGAUAACACUGACGCUCAUGCACGAAAGCGUGGGGAGCAAACAGGAUUAGAUACCCCGGUAGUCCACGCCCUAAACGAUGUCAACUGGUUGUUGGAAGGGUAACCUUUUAGUAACGAAGCUAACGCGUGAAGUUGACCGCCUGGGGAGUACGGUCGCAAGAUUAAAACUCAAAGGAAUUGACGGGGACCCGCACAAGCGGUGGAUGAUGUGGUUUAAUUCGAUGCAACGCGAAAAACCUUACCUACACUUGACAUGCCAGAAAUCCUGCAGAGAUGUGGGAGUGCCGCAAGGAAUCUGGGCACAGGUGCUGCAUGGCUGUCGUCAGCUCGUGUCGUGAGAUGUUGGGUUAAGUCCCGCAACGAGCGCAACCCUUGUCACUAGUUGCUACAUUUAGUUGGGCACUCUAGUGAGACUGCCGGUGACAAACCGGAGGAAGGUGGGGAUGACGUCAAGUCCUCAUGGCCCUUAUGUGUAGGGCUACACACGUCAUACAAUGGUCGGUACAGAGGGUUGCCAACCCGCGAGGGGGAGCUAAUCUCACAAAGCCGAUCGUAGUCCGGAUCGCAGUCUGCAACUCGACUGCGUGAAGUCGGAAUCGCUAGUAAUCGUGGAUCAGCAUGUCACGGUGAAUACGUUCCCGGGUCUUGUACACACCGCCCGUCACACCAUGGGGAGUGGAAUCCGCCAGAAGUAGUUAGCCUAACCGCAAGGGAGGGCGAUUAC